AAAAUUACAACAGAGAAAGAAAAAAGAGGGUAAGUUAACACACACUGUAAUCUAUCUUGUAUGCUGUUGAAUCUUCUUAGCUCAUGAUGGUUUACUAAAGUACAGAAAAAACAUCCAAAGUAUUAAAACUCAAUACUUGAAAAUAACAAUAAUUACUACCUAAUUAAAACCGUUAAGUGUAUUGAAAUAGAAAAGCACUAAAAUAUAACUGGUUUGGUUACCAUUACUCUGAUUUAUUUAUUUAUUCAAUUUAUAUCUCACUUUCCGCUCAAACAAUUUUUUUAAAUCAAAGCUCUUUCAGUCUACAAAGGGCUAAGAGAAAGAAUGAAUUUCAAAUAAAUAGCUGGCAGUGUGUAUGUCAACAAAAUUGAUGUUACCAGAAGAAUCACUUGUAAGUGAUUUUUAAGGGGUAAAACUGAUAAUCUUGAUGAAGAUGCAGAAUUGUAUGAGCAAAACUAAAGCAUCAAGGGCACAGGAAUCCACAGGAAGCUGCGAUUACUUCAAAAUGAUGAGAUGUGUGCUGGGAAGUUAUGCAGAUCCUGCCUUCACAUACCCAUGUUUCAUUAAACUGUAUGUGUUGUGGUUCUUGCUUCAUGAUGCAUGUUUUGUCAUUCCCGCUCAUAUUCCUGCCUGCCUACAGAUGCUCAAGAGAGGUUCAUCUCUUUGUCUAAAUAAAAGGCCCAGAUGAUGCCAUGGUGUUGCCAAGUGACACGCAGACCAAAGUUGCAAUAUUUAUCAGAUGUCAAGGCACUGUCACUAUAGAUACGAGCACUUGAGUGAGUUAAAUUCUAAGAAAAAAUGCUUUGCAGUUGAAAAGGUUGAACUGUGUGUUUCAACAGCAGUGAAUUGCCCACUACAAGAUAUUCCUUCAGAUGAACACACACCUAUGAAGAUCUGAAUCAGUAUUACUUUCCACAUUGGAGUCAUCUAAAGAGAUCUGAGACUGAGCUUUCACUUCCAGAUUCCUGCUGAGC